rnacentral:tRNA from 1 species
UUCUUGUUAGAGAAGGAUUUUGAAAGUCCUUAUUGGUGGGAAUUACUCACCACAAGAAU